AAAGAGAUAAAGAUUUUAAUGUAAUAUUGAUUGAAAAGGAAAAUAAUUAAUUAUGUCUAAAAAUAUAAAAUUUAUGAAAUAAUUAAUAAAUUUUAUGAAGUUUUACAAGACCAAUAAAAUUGUUCAGCCGAUUCUUAUUUUAUUGCGAGAAAUAUUUUUUAAUCUACACAUUUAUCAUUCAAGAAAAUGUCAAGUUAAAAAUCGACAGUUUGUGCGAAAGAGCAUCAUUUUAUUAUUCCAUUAGUCUUCAAAAGAUUUCCUUCAUAAACAAUUAGACAAAAUGUGAAAAAAAUUCUCAUGAAAAAAAAAAUUUCACGCGAUAAAAUUUACACGAGUCGCAUAAUUUACGACAAUUAAUUCUAAUACAACGACAAGAUUCGUCUAUAUCUGCUUCCACGAUUUGUAUAUGUUUCUCAUUAGCACGAAAUAAUAUUUUUUCAAUAACGAGAAGGCGCCGGAUGAGUCAUAGAGGAGGUUCGACGACCGACGCGCCACAGCGCGGCGUAGCUCGGCCUUUAUGCGAAGCCAAACGAUGGAGGAAGCAAAGGACUCUAUGGCUAUUAAAAGAAACGCGGUAAAUUAGAGUAAGGGAAUGUCGACGAGGGAUGCAACGACACAAUGGAGAAUUUACGAUCUGGACGUUUUGCUAUUUUUCUCGUGGGAUAUACAAGUAAGAAACUAUCUCUUUUCUCUUUCGACACAUUGUUUACCAAUUGAGGAAAUCGACCGAUCUUAUUAUCUUUUCUUGACUUUAAUCAUCAAUUAGAUAAUUUCAAUGGUAUUGCAAUCUCCAAAAGAAAA